rnacentral:rRNA from 1 species
UGCCAGCCGCCGCGGUAAUACGGAGGGUGCAAGCGUUAAUCGGAAUCACUGGGCGUAAAGAGCACGUAGGCGGCUAAGUUAGUUGGAUGUGAAAGCCCCGGGCUUAACCUGGGAACUGCACCCAAUACUGCUUAGCUAGAAUAUGGUAGAGGGAGGUAGAAUUUCCGGUGUAGCGGUGAAAUGCGUUGAUAUCAUCUGGAACACCGGUGGCGAAAGCGGCUCACUGGAUCUCUUCUGACGCUGAGGAACGAAAGCUAGGGUAGCGAACGGGAUUAGAUA